UCUAUAGCUAAACAAGGUUCUAUCUCCUCCUUCUUCUCUAUUUUAAGUGAUAGGGUAUUGGAACUUGAUGACUCUUUGAUGCUGUGACAUGACUUCUUCUUUUCAAUUGUAGAGGAGAUUUGUUCACGUCUCCUCCUAACGAACUCAACCUUAUAAGAGGAAUUAAUGGUCAAUAGUGGCCAUCAUAGAAAUACUCCCGUACCAUUUAGAGAUGCCCUUUACAAAAAAAAAGUGUAGAAUUAUACAUAAUAAAAAUCUAGCUACUACUUUGCAUUGGCAUUUAAACAAAAUUUUGAUACUAAAAAAAUGAAAAAAAAAACCUCUACUCAUCCAGCAUUGCAGUAAAUAAUUAAAGAUUCUGUAUUAAAACUUUCCUUAAGUGCAUACCACUGAUGAUCAUUCAUUUGAAGGUGUGACUAUCAAUGCACUCUAUUUCCACCUGAUCUCCCUCAAUCUCUACACACCCAACUCACACAAUCCUUGCUCAUUUAAUGGCAUUAAAUACACAAAGCCAAGGCAAUCCCUGUGAUCAAUUCAAUUUGGGGAUAGCCAUAGCUGGUUCUUUGGCCUGCAGAAGCAUUUGGUUUGAUCAUCAUGGCACUGCUACUGCAUGCACCACACACACACACACAGAACACAACAAUUGAGUGAGUCCGUUUGUUGCUUAGAUAUGUACACAUGCCAUGGGACUCAUGAAGAGGUCCAUGCAUGAACUUUUUUCAGAGCGACGUGUGCAAAAACACAUGCAUCGCAAUCACCGUCCUUGUUUUCAUUUUUCUUGAAGAUGCAUCACGUAGGAGCAUAAACAACUUUUUUUAAUUACUAGUAACAUGUAUGUGCAUUACAAUGGACCUAUACGAUUGGGGAUAGACUUGGGGUCCAUAUGACUUUGAUGCGCCGGUGGUUGCGCUCUAUGCAAGGUGAGGAUGAGCGGAUGGAAGACUGCUUAAUUUUAAGUAGUAUAUGCUACGGUAAAAAUAAGAGAAAUAAAUACUAGCAAUAUUAAUUUGUACAAUUUUAAAGAUGGUAUAAAUAUAGCAUAAGGGGUAAGGUCCGGGUUGGUAUGGGAUUUUUAAAGUGUAUAAGGAGAGUUCCAUUACAACUUUAUCAUAAAUUGAUCAUAUUGAAACGUUGCAUAUUUUUGUCACAAUAAACUACAGUCGCUAAAAUAU